UACGAAGGGGGCUAGCGUUGCUCGGAAUCACUGGGCGUAAAGGGUGCGUAGGCGGGUCUUUAAGUCAGGGGUGAAAUCCUGGAGCUCAACUCCAGAACUGCCUUUGAUACUGAAGAUCUUGAGUUCGGGAGAGGUGAGUGGAACUGCGAGUGUAGAGGUGAAAAUUCGUAGAUAUUCGCAAGAACACCAGUGGCGAAGGCGGACUCACUGGCCCCGAUACUGACGCUGAGGCACGAAA
rnacentral:rRNA from 1 species